CGGUAACUCUCUGGCUUUCUGCUGGCUGCCAGAACUCAAAGAAAAGAACUCCACUUGUAGGUCAGGAGCUCUGAAAUUUAUUUUGGGAUAUUUUUUUUGUUGUCAUCUGAAGAGCAGCUAGUUAAAUGAUGUCUGCUUGACUGACCGCUGACUGUAGCAGUCUUCCUCCAGCAGGUGGCGCAGUUGUACUGGAAACUGAACCAACCCUAACCAAACAUCAGCUGUUCCUUCUGGAGCGUUAAAAGCAGCAACUCUACGUAAAGAUGGACCAGCCCUCUGUGGUGUCACGAAUAGGUGUUUCCCCUUUAAUUAGUGUUGACUAAACGACAGCUUCACGUCUCAACAUAGAACAGACAAGACUCAGCAGUCCACCUGCAUCUAAAGGAUAAAGGACAUUCCUUUGAGGACAGCAAUGUCUACAUUAUGGACAGAGAGGACAGAUGGUUUGAGAGGAGUGAAGGAAGCCCUCUAUGUCAAACUGGAACAGUCAUCUCUAAACAGAGGAGGGGAUUCACAUCCUUUGCUGUAUAAAACUGGAAGCUCCACCACCAUGAUCGCUGUCAUAGUCGGUGGAUCGCCUGGUUUCACAACAUCCAUACCUGGAGACCGAUGUCCUGGUUGUUAACGGGUCAUUAGCCAUGUGAGCUGGAGGAACUACAAACUCUGUAACUCACCAUUAGUCAGUUGGAACUGAAGAAGAACCUUGGAUGAAGGGGAAAUGUCUUCAAGAACUGAUAAGAGAAGUCCAGUUGAUUGUUACUGAAGCUCCUACAAUAUAUUUGUUGGUAAAUCAGAAAGAAUGAACCACAGUGAAACUAAAAGAAUAUGGAACAUUAGUCUGAUAAGGAGAAAAUUAAAACCCUGUUUGGACUUAAUCAGCUGUUAAACAUCAGCUCAUUUGAUGCAUCCAUGCCAUAAUGCCACAAUACUUUGCCUUAAUAUUUUAGAAAACCGAGCCUAUUUUUGUAAGUUUAUUGCACUUCGUCUCUGGUAGUUUCCAAACUUGAUGCACUCAUGAACUUCAUCUCAUAUGAACUUUGAAUUGUGUUUCCAAUAAUGAGGCAGAAGCUUCAUCUUUGUUUUUUUCGUUAUUUCUUCAUGUAAGAAAACACUGCUUCAUUUAAAGUGGGAUAUCUUCGGUGUCUCUAUCAGGCAGCACCCUAGUGAUUCUUCAUGCUUCUAACCACCGUCACAUGGUAGCCAUCAGCAUUUUGUCCUUCACCUUCUCCCUGAAGCAACACAGGAAGUGAGAAAAGACCUGAAUCAGAAUCAGCUGAAUACAGCGUGUAGUUUAAGCUGCAUUAGUUGAAUUAAAACAACAUCCAAGUUGUAGUACGUUAAUUAAACUGGCUUGAAAACCUAUUUUCCAUCCUGACAUCAGGAUUUGAAACCUUACAAACUUGUCUGGUUGACUUCAAACAAAUAAGAGACAGACUGAACUCUGAAUAAAGAUUCUAGUGUAAAAUCUGACAGAGCUACAGCGUUCCAAACAAGGCUGGUUUAGUAGCUGUCUGGCCAACUUAGUAACUCCACCUUCAUCAUCACUAAAUAUCAUCUUAAUGUGGAAGAAAACUACCAACCUGAUUCUGGCUGUCAGGAAAAGCAUUUCCUUUAACAUACUACACUACUGAGUUCUUCUCCGCUGAACCUGCAAAGACAUAAAACUUCAGUUUAAACUGGAACAUGGCAGUCAGUCAAACACAUCUCUGAUCUGAAUACAGCAGCUGGUAGCACACAGACAGAAAACACAAGUUAUAGAAAAUAAUAUCCAUAUAAUACAGAAAAAUAUAGAACACGAUGUUUAAACCAACAUCCAGAGGAUGAUGUCUGAUGUUCUAAAGUCUACAGAUGAAUGCAUUCAAUGAACAUAUGUGGGAUUCAAUAAAAAUUAGACCUGCCUCUUCUGUCUGUGGUUGGUGUGUUUUUCCUGAAACACUUCCAGAUUGAAAAGGCAGCGAAUGCAAGUGCAGCAGAGACUCCAAUUAUGAUCCAAACUGUCAAACAAAACACUGAAGGUCAAGAAAAACUCAACAAACAACACGUUUCAUUGUCAAAAAUCAGAGUUAGAACUGAUCUUACCAUGACUAUGGUUGUUCUCUGAGCUGCUGUUGGUGAAGUUCUCUCCACAG